AUCCUUAGUUGCCAUCAGUUCGGCUGGGCACUCUAGGGAAACUAGCCGGUGAUAAGCCGGAGGAAGGUGGGGAUGACGUCAAGUCCUCAUGGCCCUUAUGGGCUGGGCUACACACGUGCUACAAUGGCGACUACAGUGGGCAGCGACAUCGCGAGGUGAAGCUAAUCUCAAAAAGUCGUCUCAGUUCGGAUUGUACUCUGCAACUCGAGUGCAUGAAGUCGGAAUCGCUAGUAAUCGCGGAACAGCAUGCCGCGGUGAACACGUUCCCGGGCCUU
rnacentral:rRNA from 1 species